AUUGAACGCUGGCGGCAGGCUUAACACAUGCAAGUCGAACGAGUGGCGGUCGGGUGCGUAUUGCUUGGGAAUCUUGCUUCUGGAGGUUGAUAACUACGGGAUACUGUAGCUAAUACCGCCUACCAUAGUAUGAUCCCUAGUGGGAUUAGGUAGUUGGUGAGGUAAAGGCUCACCAAGCCGACGAUCUCUAGCUGGUCUGAGAGGAUGACCGGCCACACUGGGACUGGGACACGGCCCGGACUCCUACGGGAGGCAGCAGUGGGGAAUAUUGCGCAAUGGGGGCAACCUGACGCAGCCAUGCCGCGUGAAUGAAGAAGGCCUUCGGGUUGUAAAGUUCUUUCGGUAGCGAGGCGUUAACUAAAGAAGAAGGACCGGCUAACUCCGUGCCAGCAGCCGCGGUAAUUG
rnacentral:rRNA from 1 species